rnacentral:rRNA from 1 species
CGAACGGGUGAGUAAUGCGUGACCAACCUGCCCCAUGCUCCAGAAUAGCUCUUGGAAACGGGUGGUAAUGCUGGAUGCUCCAACUUGACGCAUGUCUUGUUGGGAAAGUGUUUAGUGGCAUGGGAUGGGGUCGCGUCCUAUCAGCUUGUAGGCGGGGUAAUGGCCCACCUAGGCUUCGACGGGUAGCCGGCCUGAGAGGGCGGACGGCCACAUUGGGACUGAGAUACGGCCCAGACUCCUACGGGGGAGGCAGCAGCC